rnacentral:rRNA from 1 species
GAUGAACGCUGGCGGCGUGCCUAAUACAUGCAAGUCGAGCGAACAGGCGAGGAGCUUGCUCCUCUGACGUUAGCGGCGGACGGGUGAGUAACACGUGGAUAACCUACCUAUAAGACUGGGAUAACUUCGGGAAACCGGAGCUAAUACCGGAUAAUAUAUUGAACCGCAUGGUUCAAUAGUGAAAGACGGUUUUGCUGUCACUUAUAGAUGGAUCCGCGCCGCAUUAGCUAGUUGGUAAGGUAACGGCUUACCAAGGCAACGAUGCGUAGCCGACCUGAGAGGGUGAUCGGCCACACUGGAACUGAGACACGGUCCAGACUCCUACGGGAGGCAGCAGUAGGGAAUCGUCCGCAAUGGGCGAAAGCCUGACGGAGCAACGCCGCGUGAGUGAUGAAGGUCUUCGGAUCGUAAAACUCUGUUAUUAGGGAAGAACAAAUGUGUAAGUAACUAUGCACGUCUUGACGGUACCUAAUCAGAAAGCCACGGCUAACUACGUG